AAUUUCAGCUGAAAAAGUCAUGAACAUAAAAGUUGUAGAGCUCAUCAAGACAUACAACUUUUAUUUUGGCCAUUUCUUCAUCCGAUAAAGUGAUAGUAACAUUGUUCACAAAGUUUACAUAUCUCUCUUAUAGUUUAUAGAACCAGAUGAGACAGAUGUAAAUUUUGUAAACAAUAUUACUAUCACUUUGUCGGAUGAAGAAACGACCAAAAUAAAAGUUAUAGAUCUUGAUGAGUUAUACAACUUCGUUGUUGAUGACUUUUUCAAUUGAAAUC
rnacentral:pre_miRNA from 1 species